UACUAUAGCUUGACACUGAACAUUGAGCCUUGAUGUGUAGGAUAGGUGGGAGGCUUGGAAGUGUGGACGCCAGUCUGCAUGGAGCCGACCUUGAAAUACCACCCUUUAAUGUUUGAUGUUCUAACGUUGACCCGUGAUCCGGGUUGCGGACAGUGUCUGGUGGGUAGUUUGACUGGGGCGGUCUCCUCCUAAAGAGUAACGGAGGAGCACGAAGGUUGGCUAAUCCUGGUCGGACAUCAGGAGGUUAGUGCAAUGGCAUAAGC
rnacentral:rRNA from 1 species